rnacentral:rRNA from 2 species
UACGUAAGGUCCGAGCGUUGUCCGGAAUCAUUGGGCGUAAAGGGUACGUAGGCGGAUAAGCAAGUUAGAAGUGAAAUCCUAUAGCUCAACUAUAGUAAGCUUUUAAAACUGCUCAUCUUGAGGUAUGGAAGGGAAAGUGGAAUUCCUAGUGUAGCGGUGAAAUGCGCAGAUAUUAGGAGGAAUACCGGUGGCGAAGGCGACUUUCUGGCCAUAAACUGACGCUGAGGUACGAAAGCGUGGGUAGC